UGGGGAAGAUGACGUCAACCACAAGAAACUUGGCGAUUUAGACGGAGCAUGAAGCUUGGCGGCUUGUGACACUUUAAGAACAAAUGUAUGAGAUUACAUAUGAGUCGCCAUGGUUAAUAAUAAAAGUUUAUUGGCAUGAAUAAAUUCAAGUCAAUAUGGGGCCUAAUGUUGGUGAUAUUAUACGCUGCAUGACUCGCCCUAUUGGGACGGGUCAGGUUCAUGGUGACUCAUCUCUUGUGAUCCAAAGAUGGGCUUAGACCGAGAAUAUAGAAGGUGUUGAGUGGUUUCGGAGCGAAGAGCCGGCUAGGCCCAAGAGCCUAGAUGACAACUCAGAGUCCGAGAAGAAGAAGACCUACCGUGGUGAUUCCUUGCUUGAGAGACACGACGACUUAGAGAUACACCAGGUCACGACUUGAUGAUACGUCUUGGACUCUUGUAAACCUAGCGCCUCGACCUGUAUAUAAAGGUGAGCCUCUAAGGUUGAUAGACUUAAGUUACAUUCCAUCAAGAGCUAGGUCAGGCGAGUUCUGCAUCAUUGUAAUCGAUUCCACCAUGAAUAUACACAAAGAAGGACAUAGGCUUUACCUCCAUUGGAGGGGUCAAACCUGGGUAAACCCGAGUCACGCUCUCGCUUAACCCCUUUGAGUCUCCACCAAGGUGCAAUGGCUCCAUCUCUAAGUCCUUUCACGAGGACAUCUAUCGUGACAAAACCACGACACCCGGUUUGGCUCCGCUCCAGGUAAAAUUCUGAAUACUUCGGAAGGAAGCCAGAAUCGUCCAUAGACCCGGCUACGUACCCAAGGCUUUUGGUAACCCAGCCUUACCCCGCAAGCUACCAAGAAGAGCUUACCAGACUGCCAAUCUUCCUUGGUACGCCACUCGGUGAGAGAUCCUUCUGGGAUAUGGCACUCCCAUCUUCCACAAGCAUGCUACCACGGAAAACUUACGGCAUAAGGCACAUGACCUUCCUCAGCGAGCCACAUGAAGGAAAGCAUUUAAGGCACGAUACCCAGCCUUCUUCAGGACGCUACCUUGGCAGAAGCUUCGAGUAUAAGGAAUUCAGUUUUCUUCAACAUGCCAUCGUGCCUGCAACAAGCUUGUUGGAAGCAUGAACUAGUCCGGCCACAUCCACCUCAGAACUCGGUGGUUAUGAAAGGGAUCCUACACCUACAUAUGUUGUGAGCAUGCAGUCUAGUGGAUCAGUUCAUGCGAGCAACUCGUACACAUGAGUGACUGUGUUUAGAGAAACAUUGGCCCUAUGUUUAAAACAAGAAUAUGAGCACAUCAACCCCUAUAAGGUAUGCAAGAGUAAGAUCUGAGAACGAGCCCAAUGAACCGGGAAAACAAUCAAGGAGCCGUGUGGGCAGGUCAUUACAGAUCCAUCAAAGGAAUCCUCGAGCACAAAGAAGUGUUGAACAAACAACCUCCGUGACGGUCAACAAGACACAGUUUCACAGUGAGGUAUUACCAACCCUUGUCAGACUCUUGCAUACGCGGCCACAUCAAUGCCCUACCUACGGCUACAAACGAGCGCCGCACUCCUCACGAAUAUGGGUCAUUAACCAAGAUAGGAGGCUAUGCUCUAAAAGAUACACUAGAUGAUAGUGAUACUAUGGUCAUCUGAGUGGUCAUAGCAAGGACUACGGAGGCUAUAUAUAGGACAGAGCCAUAUCCAUGAGCGACCAAGUUUGAAACAAGACAUUCAGAUAGAAUGUCUCAAAGCACAUCAGCAUCAACAUCUCAUAGAAUCAUGACAUCGUUAGGAUAAGAGAUUACUGUCUAUAUUUAUUUUGCGUCCAUGUGUGACAUUUCAGUUGGGGAUAUAGUAGCAAUGGCUCGGUCAUGUUGUUCCUUGAAUUAUGGACCAUUUAUAAGGACAAAGUUAGAGUGCCUAAGACAGAAGGAAAUAUUCGUAUGAAACCCACAACCAAACCGGACAUUCUAGCAUGGCAAAAGAAAGCCAAUACCACCCACUCAAGACCAUACGAGCACGUAAGCGUGGUACCAGGCAAGGAUGUCUUGCCCACGACAGUCAAGGUACGAAGUAUCGCAAUAAAACAAAAGCAUUUACUUUCGGGCCAUGGAAACCGAGUCGUCUGUUGGUACUACUGCUAGCCCACUCAACAACACCACUACCAGGACAAAAGGUACACUUGACAGGAAAGAGAAUGAUUCAAGGAAACUGUAUGAAUAGACAACACAUGGUCCAUCAGAAGAGGCAGUUAACGGGGUCAGUGAACCAACGAAGAUAGGAACGCAUGAAGGGUCCACGGAGAAGCAACCAUGUCUAUUCCACCAUGGCUUACGUCCAUGAAGUAAUAGCCGCACUUGGGGUAGAUCUUCAUGAACUAGGUGAUCUCCUUGCCCUUACAAAAUUCUUGGUUCACUCAUACGUCUCCAACGUAUCUAUAAUUUUUGAUUGUUACAUGCUAUUACAUUAUCAACUUGGG
rnacentral:lncRNA from 1 species